rnacentral:rRNA from 1 species
GACGAACGCUGGCGGCGUGCUUAAUACAUGCAAGUCGAACGGAAAGGCCCUGCUUUUGUGGGGUGCUCGAGUGGCGAACGGGUGAGUAACACGUGAGUAACCUGCCCUUGACUUUGGGAUAACUUCAGGAAACUGGGGCUAAUACCGGAUAGGAGCUCCUGCUGCAUGGUGGGGGUUGGAAAGUUUCGGCGGUUGGGGAUGGACUCGCGGCUUAUCAGCUUGUUGGUGGGGUAGUGGCUUACCAAGGCUUUGACGGGUAGCCGGCCUGAGAGGGUGACCGGCCACAUUGGGACUGAGAUACGGCGCAGACUCCUACGGGAGGCAGCAGUGGGGAAUAUUGCACAAUGGGCGGAAGCCUGAUGCAGCAACGCCGCGUGCGGGAUGACGGCCUUCGGGUUGUAAACCGCUUUCGCCUGUGACGAAGCGUGAGUGACGGUAAUGGGUAAAGAAGCACCGGCUAACUACGUG